rnacentral:rRNA from 1 species
GACGAACCGAGCGAACGUUAUUCGGAAUUACUGGGCGUAAAGAGCUCGUAGGUGGUUUGUCGCGUUGUUCGUGAAAACUCACAGCUUAACUGUGGGCGUGCGGGCGAUACGGGCAGACUGGAGUACUGCAGGGGAGACUGGAAUUCCUGGUGUAGCGGUGGAAUGCGCAGAUAUCAGGAGGAACACCGGUGGCGAAGGCGGGUCUCUGGGCAGUAACUGACGCUGAGGAGCGAAAGCGUGGGGAGCAAACAGG